ensembl:lncRNA
AGAAUCUUUAACACAUAUGUGUUAAAAUUAUUUCUGGUACCAUCACCCAGGGUCUGGAAGGCAGCCGCUCCACAAAGACUAUUCAAGCGAUCGACUCACUGAUGCAUGAAGAUGAUGAGCUAUCAGCAAAGGCCAUCUGGAGUCCCAAGCAUCCCCUCAAACGUCAUGCGGGGGUGCCAACUUCUUGCCAGGGACCAGGCACAUAUUUGAGUUUUGAUGACAAUGACCCAAAACACACUGCCACCCGGGUUUGCAUUGCAAAUGAGGGCAUAAACUGGGUCAAGACUCCGCAGAGUAAGUU